rnacentral:rRNA from 1 species
UCGAGAAUUUUUCACAAUGGGGGAAACCCUGAUGGAGCGACGCCGCGUGGGGGAUGAAUGGCUUCGGCCCGUAAACCCCUGUCAUUCGCGAUCAACCCUUGCUGUUUAAGAGAUGGCAAGCUGAUAGUAGCGGAAGAGGAAGGGACGGCUAACUCUGUGCCAGCAGCCGCGGUAAUACAGAGGUCCCGAGCGUUGUUCGGAUUCACUGGGCGUAAAGGGUGCGCAGGUGGUGAGGUGUGUCGGAUGUGAAAUCUCGGAGCUCAACUCCGAAAUGGCAUUGGAAACUACCUUGCUAGAGGAUUGGAGGGGGGACUGGAAUACUUGGUGUAGCAGUGAAAUGCGUAGAUAUCAAGUGGAACACCGGUGGCGAAGGCGAGUCCCUGGACAAUUCCUGACGCUGAGGCACGAAAGCUAGGGGAGCAAACAGG